CCCGGAAAAAUGUCUUAACUUCCAGGAAAGACGAAAUGGUUUUGGGGAAACGCACGCCUCUUAACAAGGCUAACAGCAACAAAGAAGGGGGACAUGGUUGAAAGGCCCACAUUUUAAGAAGUUGAAAAAAGCCGACAGCCUCUUGUUUCUUGAUGUAAACGCCUUCUUUGCCCGAACGUUGUAAGAGAGAGAUGGGUGUUUGAAAUUUGCAUGUGGGAGAAGAGAAAUUUUGGGUUCUGAAUUUUGGUGUCAAAUUAAAUUGGGUUGGAUCUUGUACGUGGUUUGGAUUUGAUUGAUGUCUCGUUCUCUGUUGUUGCCAGUCAAUACAAUUUGCAAGGAUGCAGCUGGAGUCGCCGGGAACAUCUUUGCUUUUGGGCUGUUUGUGUCACCAAUACCUACGUUUAGGAGAAUCGCCAGAAACCGAUCAACAGAAAGUUUCUCAGGAUUGCCAUAUAUAUAUGCUCUCCUAAACUGCUUGGUAACUCUCUGGUACGGCACGCCCCUCGUAUCUUAUAAUAAUAUAAUGGUUACCACAGUCAAUUCAAUUGGAGCAGCCUUUCAGUUAGUCUACAUAAUCCUCUUCAUAACAUAUACCGGCAAAAGGAAAAAGGUGAGGAUGUUUGGGCUGCUGAUGGUAGAUAUUGUCUUAUUCUUAGUCAUAGUUGUUGGGAGCUUGGAAAUAAGUGACUUUACCAUUCGGCGGAUGGUUGUUGGGUUCUUGAGUUGUGCUGCUCUCAUAUCUAUGUUUGCUUCUCCAUUGUUUGUAAUUAAUUUGGUGAUCCAGACAAGGAGUGUCGAAUUCAUGCCAUUCUAUCUUUCUCUUUCAACUUUCCUAAUGAGCGCUUCUUUUCUUGCUUAUGGAAUUUUGAACAAUGAUCCCUUUGUUUAUGUCCCAAAUGGAGCUGGAACCGUUUUGGGGAUUGUGCAAUUGGGGUUGUACUCCUACUAUAAAAGAACAUCUGCAGAAGAGUCUAGAGAACCUUUAAUAGUGUCUUAUGGGUAAAAGAGCAUAUAAGCAAGAAAAGGUAAAAUUGGUGUUCUUUGCUGCAUGAAAUAGGAAGACAAGGCUGGAACUGAAGGAUAGUGAAACGUGCAAACUUGCUACCCACAAUUGUGCUUUUAGGUCAUUCUUCCUCCUUUUAGUCACGUGUGCAUGUCUCUACACAAAUAAGAGCAUGUAAAUCUCUGGAACUUUGUCUUCCAGUCUUCUUUUCCUCGUCUUUAGUUUUUUUCCUUUCUGUUUUGGCAUUGGAAUUAUGUUGUAAAUAUUCAAACAUUUAUGUGAUUCAUUGAUGGGCUUCAUAUUGUUGAAGCACCAUUAUUAAAGCAUUAUACUCCCUUUGCUAGUUGGGGGCAAUUGCUAACCUCUCUUUUUUAUUAGUUUUUGCUCUUUUCUAUUUUUACUGUUUUCACCUAUUAAUUGAUCCAUUGCCUCUUCAUAUUUUUAGUUGAUAAAUAUCUCCUUUGUUGUAUUACUUCUUACUUCUUGCUGCUUCCUCCAACUUAAUACCAAAAUAGAUUAAUACACCCUUUGAGUUUUUAAUAUCAUUUCUUACUUGUUGCUUAUCUGAAGAAGAGCGGUGAUGGAACCACCCAUGAGAAGGUAAAGAUCUAGUGGUUGUUGAAUCUGCUAAUGUGAAUUUUAAGAUGUGUAGUUUCUCUUGUUGAGGAAAUUAGUUAUCUCUAGAUCAUGCAAGUGUACUUUUGCUUGAUCCCCUAGAUUAGCAGAUUCAAAGGCAGAGGUCCGAACAAAGAGAGUUGCCUUCACUUCUGAGUCCUCUGUGAGGUCUGAAUCCUAUGCUUAUGGACUUGAAAUUUCCUUCUUGGUGGGUUGUGAUUAUUCUCAUCCCCCCUUCUCCUAGUGAGAACAUCUCUUCUACCCAUGCUCUGUUCUUGAUUUUCAAGAUUAUUGCAUUAUUCAUCAGUAUAAAUGAAAAUGGAACUUGCUUUUCCAGGACCAAGAUCUCCAGAAACUGAGGAAUUUAAUCCAGAAAACAAAGGUUGAUGGAGUGGCUGGCCUGUCUCAUCAUACAGAAUCAGCCCGCUGAAUCGAGGCAGCUCACACUUCUCCCCCAUCAGUAUCGGUCUCUGCCACACUGGUGAGACUGAGUUAUGGCUCUGCCACCCCACAUCCCCCUCAUACCGCUGCACCGCCAGCAGCGGCAGUGGCCUCUCGUCCCAUUUGCUGGCUCCACUCCACCUCACUGUCCCCAUCAACACCCUCUUUAUGGACCCCCAACCACACCCUCCAUCACCCCACUUCUUGCUGAUCAUCGACUCAACCCCAUCGACAUCCUCCCCACCAACCACCUGCCUUCUCCGGGCUCUCUUUUUCAGUGCGACCGCAGUGCACACUCCGAUGACUGAAAAUGUAGUGCAGACAAACAGGAGGGCUGCUUCUUGGGUUGACAGCUUCCAUUUGUCCUCCAAGCUCCACAAUGCUUCCAUGUCUGCUUGUGAGAGUGUGGGGUAGUGAGUGAGAUGAGAGUUUGUAUGGAUUGUAUGGAGAUGUUGUGGAGUUGGUAGCAGUCACAUGAGGGUCACCGCUAGUGGGGGGUGUUGUUGAUUUGUAGGAUGGCCUUGUGGGAUAGCCGUUGCUGGCAAAUGCCUCCCACCGAUUGAAGUUAAUGUGGAUUCACGAGGUACCCAAGGUUGUGAUAAAAGCAGGAACAUGAAUGAAUAGAAACAACUUGAAGAGAAUCUAGACA